UUUGUAGCGUAUAGUAGUAACUCGCUGACAUAUCAGCUAUCAUUUCGUGUACAGGUAGGCUGUCCUUACCCUGGUUAUACAGGUACACUACGAUAGGGUAACGUUUAUAUAAUGGUAGAGAGACACUUACAGUGUUAUCACAACCAAUAUAACCUACAUUUACAACUUUGACGGGACAUGCUACCGGCAGUAGGAGGCGGCUCUACUCUUAGGAACAAGGACAAUUUGAUGAUCGUAGCAAUCAGUGAUUGGAGCUAUAGACAGCACUAACACGACUGGUAUCGGUGGAGUAUUUACCCAGUUUAUUACGUGAAGAUUAGCCUAUGCCGGAGUCCACUUCUCACAAGAAGAAGUAUAGCCGUGACUCUGUUCCUGCGAACCACUGGGUCAGAAGGUACAGAAUGAUCACUAGCAUCGAUGAUUUGAGAUCUUUGAGGUUUUGGAAGGCGGUUGGUGCCGAGUUUCUCGGAACGUUGCUACUGGUGAUGGUAGGAUGUGGCUCGUGUGUAGCUUGGGAUGCUGACAACAAAGUGGUCCAGAUCGCAUUCUGUUUCGGACUUAGUGUAGCCACUAUUGUAUGGAGCAUCGGACAUGUAAGUGGGGGACAUAUAAACCCGGCUGUCACGUGUGCAUUCUUCAUCACGCGCCAAAUAAGUCUUGCGCGCGGCGUUCUCUACAUUGUGGUCCAAUGUCUUGGAGCAAUAAUUGGAGCGGGCUUGUUGAAGGGGAUGACACCUCCCAGCCGCCAGGACACUUUGGGGGCCACCGUGCCACACAAUGACGUAGAUGGUGGCAGAGCGUUUGGAAUUGAAUUUUUUAUCACCUUUAUCCUCAUUUUUACCAUUUUUGCGACAUGUGACAAAAAACGUAAGGAUCUUGGCGGUUCCUUCCCGUUGUCUAUCGGCCUCGCGGUUACCAUGUGUCACCUGUUUGCAAUCCAGUUUACCGGAGCCAGUAUGAACACAGCCCGGAGUUUCGGACCUGCUGUUGUGAUGGGGGUCUGGGAUAAACACUGGGUGUACUGGUUAGCCCCACCACUCGGAGCGUGCUGUGCUGGUCUCUUGUACGACAAUGUGUUUUCCCUGAACGCGUCACUAGAGAAGGCGCGUGGAUUUCUCCUGUCCAGUGAUUACGACCACGAAGACUUCCCCGCCAAACGAAGAAAGAUCAAAGUCAUUCACGAGGAAGCAGAAGAACUUAAUGUCGACUUGAACCAGAAAGCACCGGAAACGGCCUAAACAUUUCCACGCAUGCGUAAUGGAAUCACGAUUAAGAGUGUGACAAGAAUGAUAUCGAAAACAUAUUUAACUUAUUCAUAAGGCAAUUUUAAAGAAAGUUACUACCCGUUAAGACGUUUAGAUUUGGGCUUGAGAAGGGCAGACAACUCACAAGGGACUUAUCACUGAUAGCUUACGAUAGGUUUAAGAUCUCUCUCUCGGAGAUUAAGGGUUCGGCGUUUGACGUGCAUACAAGGUUCUGGUUAUGAUUGUGGUAAUACUUGAAUGCACGUCAUAAAGUUACCUGGAAUGAGUGUACACACACACACGACUAACGAUAACCAGAUACGUAGAUAAAUAAAGCUAGUCAAGACCUGAGGCGUAUUAGGCUCGCAAAGAGGUCACGACGCCCUACACUAUAAUGCUGCAAAGCCAAAGGUAGUGAUGGAGAUCGUUUGUGAACAUGUGAGUUGGCUUGAUAAGUUUGAUAGAGCCGCCGCUUCCGUAUUGUCAAGUUAUUCUACACUUUCAAAACAAUUUGCGGAUGAGUUGAAAAAAAACGAUCUAAUUAGAAAGUAGCAGACAUCAGCUGACAUCUACCAGUUACAUAUGAACACUUUGUGACAGAAAAGGUCACAAAGGCAUUUUUCGAUGAAUGGUCGUUUUUGUUGUAUCUCUUGAUGUGUGUUUGUGGUACGUAUCACUUUAUAUACGUAUCACACGUUUGUAACACGUACCACACGCUUGUUAUACUAAUGAGUACCGAACAUUUGUCAUUCUGGUAAUAACCACCUGUUUGUCAAAUUAGUAAGGUAACCACGUGUUUGUAAUAUUAGUUAGGUUACCACAUGUUUGUAAUACCAGUAAGGUUACCACGUGUUUGUAAAAUUAGUAAGGUUACCACGUGUUUGUAAUAUCAGUUAGGUUACCACGUGUUUGUAAUAUUGGUAAGGUUACCACGUGUUUGUAAUAUCAGUUAGGUUACCACGUGUUUGUAAUAUUGGUAAGGUUACCACGUGUUUGGAAUAUCAGUAAGGUUACCGCGUGUUUGUAAUAUUAUUAAGGUUACCACGUUUUUGUAAUAUUAGUAAGGUUACCACGUGUUUGUAAUAUUAGUAAGGUUCCCACGUGUUUGUAAUAUUAGUAAGGUUACCACGUGUUUGUAAUAUUAGUAAGUAUCAUUGUUUUAAUAUCAGUAAGGUAACGACGUGUCUGUAAUAUCAGUAAGGUUACCACAUGUUUGUAAUACCAGUUAGGUUACCACGUGUUUGUAAUAUUAGUAAGUAUCAUUGUUUUAAUAUCAGUAAGGUUACCACGUGUUUGUAAUAUCAGUAAGGUUACCGCGUGUUUGUAAUAUUGGUAAGUUUCAUUGUUUUAUUAUCAGUAAGGUUACGACGUGUCUGUAAUAUCAGAAAGGUUACCAUGUGUUUGUAAUAUUAGUAAGUAUCACGUGUUUGUAAUAUCAGUAAGGUUACCGCGUGUUUGUAAUAUUGGUAAGGUUGCCACGUGUUUGUAAUAUUGGUAAGGUUUCCACGUGUUGGUAAUAUUGGAAAGGUUACCACGUGUUUGUAAUAUCAGUAAGAUUCAUUGUUUUAAUAUCAGUAAGGUUACGACGUGUCUGUAAUAUCAGAAAGGUUACCACGUGUUUGUAAUAUUAGUAAGUAUCACGUGUUUGUAAUAUCAGUAAGGUUACCGCGUGUUUGUAAUAUUAGUAAGGUUACGACGUGUCUGUAAUAUCAGUAAGGUUACCACGUGUUUGUAAAAUUAGUAAGGUUACCACGUGUUUGUAAUAUCAGUAAGGUUACAACGUUUUUGUCAUAUAAGUAAGUAUCAUUGUUUUAAUAUCAGUAAGGUUACCACAUGUUUGUAAUAUCAGUAAGUAUCACGUGAUUGUAAUAUCAGUAAGCUUACCACAUGUUUGUCAUAUAAGUAAGUAUCAUUUUUUUAAUAUCAAUAAGGUAACGACGUGUCUGUAAUAUCAGUAAGGUUACCACGUGUUUGUAAUAUUAGUAAGUAUCAUUGUUUUAAUAUCAGUUAGGUUACCACGUGUAUGUAAUAUCAGUUAGGUUACCACGUGUAUGUUAUAUCAGUAAGGUUACCACGUGAUUGUAAUAUUCGUAAGUAUCACUGUUAUUCAUAUCAGUAAGCUUACGAAGUGAUUAUAAUAUCAGUAAUUUUACCACGUGUUUGUAAUAUUGGCAAGUUUUUAUUACCACGUGUUGGUAAUAUCAAUAAGCUUACCACGUGUUUGUAAUAAUAGUUAGGUUACCACGUGUUUGUAAUAUUAUUAAGUAUCAUUGUUUUAAUAUCAGUAAGUAUCACGUGUUUGUAAUAUCAGUAAGUUUCAUUGUUUUAAUAUCAGUAAGGUUACCACGUGUUUGUAAUAUCAGUAAGGUUACGACGUGUUUGUAAUAUCAAUAAGGUUACAACGUGAUUGUAAAAUUAGUAAGGUUACCACGUGUUUGUAAUAUCAGUAAGGUUACCACGUGAUUGUAAUAUUGAUAAGCUUACCACAUGUUUGUAAUACCAGUAAGGUUACGACGUGUUUGUAAUAUUAGUAAGUGUCAUUGUUUUAAUAUCAGUAAGGUUACCGCGUGUUUGUAAUAUUGGUAAGGUUACCACGUGUUUGUAAUAUCAGUAAGGCUACCACGUGUGUGUAAUAUUAGUAAAUUAAGGUAACCACAUGUUGGAAAUAUAUAUAAGCUUACCACGUGUUUGUAAUAUCAGUAAGCUUACCACGUGUUUGUAAUAUCAGUUAGGUUACCACGUGUUUGUAAUAUAAGUAAGGUUAUCACGUGUUUGUAAUAACAGUAAGCUUACCACGUGUUUGUAAUAUCAGUUUGGCUACCACGUGUUUGUAAUAUUAGUAAGGCUACCACGUGUUUGUAAUAUUAGUAAGGUUACCACGUGUUUGUAAUAUCAGUAAAUUAAGGUUACCACAUUUUUGUAAUAUAAGUAAGGUUACCACGUGUUUGUAAUAUCAGUGAUGUUACCACGUGUUUGUAAUAUCAGUUAGGUUAUAACGUGUUUGUAAUAUCAAUUAAGUUACCACGUGUUGGUAAUAUUAGUAAGGUUAUCACGUGUUUGUAAAAUAAGUAAGUAUCACGUGUUUGUAAUAUUAAUUAGGUUACCACGUGUUUGUAAUAUUAGUAAGGUUAUCACGUGUUUGUAAUAUUAGUAAGGUUACCACGUGUUUGUAAUAUUAGGAAGGUUAUCACGUGUUGUAAAAUAAGUAAGUAUCACGUGUUUGUAAUAUUAAUUAGGUUACCACGUGUUUGAAAUAUUUUGAGUUUGUUAUAGUGUCAAGUUGUUGUAAACAAAACAAAAAUAUGAAAAUCGUAAUAUGACAAACCCCAUUUAUCAAACACUGCUUUUAUAAUUUGCAUACAUGAAACACGACAUCAGUGACAAAUCUAAUGUGAUUGUAUUCUUAGCUGUUUACUCUGUUAAGUAAUCUAGAGUUAGUUCCCUUCAAUCAAACGAAUUUCGUCGUUGUCAAAGACCUUUUAACGAUGUCACUCAACUAGGAUCUACUCCCGGGUAUCUUUUGAUGACCUUCUUGUUGCCUUCUUCAUCCCUUUCUGAGAUCAGUAGGGGGCUUCAGACUAAUCUGGUGAUUCAGUCAGGU